GCAGGCAGAGUAGCGUGCGAAUCAGAGGACAGAGCUCCCGCGGGCCGACACCGCCCUGUGGAGGCAGGCUGAGUUGAACAUGCUGGAUUUCAACCCUGGUGAGGAAACAGCAUGGAGGCCAAGGUUAAGGCAGAAUAACUGGGUAAUUUGUAGACGUUUUCAUUAGACAUUUACAAAACAUAACAAAAUACAGAUGAAAUAAGGGGUGUGACAGCACCCACUUCUUGAAUAACAAACAGUUCUUAGAGCUGAAAAGCAGACCGUCCCAUUUAAAAUCAUCAUCAUUGUUACUAUACUGAGGCAAGACUGCUCAAGGACGCUGGAACCUAAUUAAAGUAGGUGCUUCACAAGCUAACCUUUCUCGAUUCUGACAAUUAGGCUCAGUAAGACCCUAAUGUAACUAACUCUUCUGUGUCCUGGAAGGAAAUUUGGUCAUUUUUUCUUACCAGAUUAUCAGAUCUUAACAUUGUGGAUUCUCCUUUUAAAAACAUGACGUUGUCACUAAAUAGCCUAUUUAUGAUGUACUACCUAUUGUGUGGUCAUAGUAUAAAAAACUAUCAAGGGUUACCAGAGAAAACAAAGGGAAGCCUUUACUUCGAUUCAAAAGAUGAAGUAAAUGAGAAAGAGAGUGGGAAUGAAGACCUAUUAAGUACUGGAAGCAUUUUUUCUUUCUUUUUUUUUUUUUUUUUUUGGUGAGGAAGAUUGGCCCUGAGCUAACAUCAGUGCCAGUCUUCUGCUAUUUUGGAUGUGGGACGCCACCACAGCAUGGCUUGAUGAGUGUUGUGUAGGUCCACACCCAGGAUUCAAACCUGCAAAUGCUGGGUCAGGGAAGCAGAACAUGCGAACUUAACCACUCUGCCACCUGGCUGGCCCCUGGAUACAAUUUUUGAAGAUGGUCUAGCUACAAAAGUUUGUUGUCAAAAUUAAAUAAUUACUGAAUUUCAUUUCUAAAUUGUUUUUAGCUAUGUGGUGUAGUCUGAAGGUUCCACGAUGUAUUGUCUGCCUCUAAACAUGUCUGCCUCUGCCUGCCCUGGGGCUACCCAGCAGUUGUCACUAUUCGUAUAUAACUCUUAAGUCAGCGUUUUAACAUGGCUCCCACUGAAAUCAGUCCACAAAUUUUACUGAACAGAAGUGCCUGGUGAGAGGAAAUGUAAAAAAAGUGUAAAACCCUGUGCUCAAAAAUCUUCCAAUAGUUCCCCAUUUCAGUCCAUUUCAAGCCAAAGUCCUUACAGUGGCCUACAGGGCCUUAUAAGUCUGUCUCUGACCUCAUCUACUGUCCCCUUGCUCACCACUCUCCAGGAAUACUGGUUCCUUGCUGUUCCUAGAACACACCAGGCAUGAUUCUGUCUCAGGACCUUUGCACUAACUGUCCUGGACUGCUCUUCCUUUAGAUAUCUACACAGCUCUUUCUCUCCCAACCUAACGCUUUAUUUUAAUAUCUUGUUAAGAACUACCCUAUUUUAAAUUGCAACCUGACCCCAAAGCAAUCCUGAUGUCCCUUAAUCUUUAUUAGAUUUUAACAUUAGAUGUUAAAUAAUUUAUUAUUGUUUAUCAUUAGUGGCUUUUACUAUAAUGUAAACUUUGAGGGCAGGGAUUUAUUUCUGUUUUGUUUACUUCCUAAGUGUGGAGGCCAGCCUCCAAGAUGGUCCCCAAUGAUUCCGACAGUGACAGGGCUGACUUAUGUAGCCAAUAGGAUACUGCAGAAAUUAAAGAGUAUGACUUCCAAAGAUAGCUCAUAAAAGGCAUCUUGGAAAUAAAUCCUCUAGACCACGUUGAGCCUUUAUAUGACUGCAGUCCUGGCCAACAUCUUUCCUGCAGCCUGACGCUCUGACCCAGAAGCACCCAGAUGAGCUGCUCCCAGAUUUCAGAGAAAUUGGUAAAGGUUUACUGAUUUAAGCGCUAAAUUUUGGGGUAGUUACAUAGGAAGAGAUAGCUCAUGUACGAAGUAUCUAGAACUAUAUACCUGGCACAUAGUAGGCAUUUGAUAAAUGGAGGAAAGAACAAAACUGCCAGAAGUAACCUGAAUUGCCAUCAAGAUUAGCCAGGAUUAUCAUCACUUAUCAGGAAACAACAUGGACUCUCACACAAGUGAACGUGGAGUAAGAAAGUUUAGGAAGAGAAGUCGAGGAUGGGAUGAGAUGGAAUGGAACACGAAAUACUGCCUGGGGAGAGGGAAGUGACUCUGCUCCCCCAGAAUUCCCAACCAUCUUACUGCCACUCAUGUCUUACCCCCCUGUGCACUGUGGGGCAUGAAAAUCAAUGUUUGAGCAUUAAUAAAUUUGCCUAGAGUACCAUCUCUGUCAUUUUGUCAAGUAAUAUAUGAUAUAGGCACCUUAUUUCUUCUUUAAAAGUUGGAGAUAAACUUCUGUUUCUGGCGAAUAUGGAAUAACGGGGAAAGGAUUUACCCUCUCACCUGAAACAACUAAGAAAACUUAAAAACAACAAUAAUUUUUAAGGUGAACAGGCAGUGAAGGAAAUUGAACUCCAAAAGUAGGAAAAUAAACAAGGUAAACGAUUGUCCCAGUGUAGUGGAUGGAAAGACCUCUGGCUGUGGCACAGGGUGGGGGAACCCAGGCAGUUAGCAGCACCUCUGGUUUGAGAUCUUGAGCUGUGGGUCCUGGGAGGCCAAUGCAGCUGGAGUUCACAGGAUAGAGUGCCACAGAGGAGGGACACACUAAGAAUUUGAAGAUUUACAGAGGGUUCUUCUUGAAUAUGUAAAUAUCGAUCACUCCAUGUGUGUGUUGAAACUACCAGAUACUGAGAGAAGAGCCACCCAAAAGGAUUAAAGGUAACAAUCCUUGGAGCUUACACAGAGCUAGUAGUAGUUCCUGCUCCCAGCAUCUGGAGUGAAAAACAUGGUAAUUUAUAGGACGUUGGGUAGAGGAGCUGGAAGGCCUACACCAAAUGCUUCCCUGCUCUUGCAAAGCAAGACCCAAAAGGAUCGAAUUAUUUCUAAGUAACUUAACUGCAGCCCAGAACAAGGCUCAAGAAAUUCACAAGGUUUAACUUACGCUAUUAGCCAAUAAAAAGGUUGCCUAGCAUGCAAAGAAGCAGGAAAAGGGGUGGAACCGGUGGCCCAGCGGUUAAGUUCUCAAGUUCCGCUUCAGUGGCCCAGGGUUCGCUGGUUCAGAUCCUGGUUGGGGACAUGGCACCACUCAUCAGGCCAUGCUGUGGCAGGCAUCGCACAUAUAAAGUAGAGGAAGAUGGGCACAGAUGUUAGCUCAAGGCCAGUCUUCCUCAGCAAAAAGAAGAGGAUUGGCAGCAGUUAGCUCAGGACUAAUCUUCCUCAAAAAAAAAAAAAAAAGCAGGAAAAUACAAACCCAUACUAAAGAGAAAAAUCAAUCAAAAUGGACCUAGAAAUAAUUCAGAUGAUAGAAUUUUUAAGACAGCAAUAGAAGCUACCCAAAAUGAGAUACAAAGAAGACUGGAAACGGCCGGCCCGGUGGCCAGCAGUUAAGUGCACACAUUCCACUUUGGCGGCCCAGGAUUUGCUGUUUCAGAUCCCAAGUGCAGACAUGGCACCUCUUGGCAAGCCAUGCUGUGGUAGGCGUCUCACAUAUAAAGUAGAGGAAGAUGGGUAUGGAUGUGAGCUCAGGGCCAGUCUUCCUCAGCAAAAAGAGGAAGAUUGGCAGCAGAUGUUAGCUGAGGGCUAAUCUUCCUCAUAAAAUAAAAUAAAAUAGUAAAGUAAAAUAAAAUAAAAUAUAAAAUAAAAAAGACUGGAUGGGCUGGCCCGGUGGCACAGCGGUUAAGUGCACAUUCUGUUUUGGCAGCCUGAGAUCUACGGGUUUGGAUCCCAGGUGCAGACAUGGCACCGCUUGGCACACCAUGGUGUGGCAGGCGUCCCACAUAUAAAGUAGAGGCAGAUGGGCACGGAUGUUAGCUCGGGCCAGUCUUCCUCAGCAAAAAGAGAAGGAUUGGCAGAUGUUAGCUCAGGGCUGAUCUUCCUCAAAAAAAAAAAAAAAAAAAGACUGGAAAAAAGGAACAGCAUGAAUGAACCAUAGGACAACUUCAAGAGGCCUAGUAUACAUGUAAUUGGAGUUCCUGAAGGACAGAGAAAAAUAUUUGAAGGGGGAAUGGCUGGAAGUUUCCCAAAUUUCAUAAAAACUAAAAACUCACAGUUCUAAGAAUUUCAGUAAAUCCCAAGCAAAAGAAACAUAAGCAACAUCAAAUUGCUUAAAAUCAGUGAUAAAAAGACCUUAAAAACAGCCAGGGGAGUCAAGAUACAUUACCUGCAGGGCAACAAACAACAAUGGUAGCAGGUAUCUUGUCAGGAACAAUGCAAGCUGGAAGACAUCGGAGCAGUAUUUUCAAAGGAAUGAGAAAAACUCUAAACCUAGAAUUCUCUACCAAGUGAAAAUAUCUUUCAAAAACCUAGGUGAAAUAAAGACUUGCAGACAUAAACCAUUAUUAGUCAUUAGGAAAAUGCAAACUCAAACCACAAUGAGGUAGCACUACGUACCUAUAAGAAUGGCUACAAUUUAAAAGGUUGGUGAGUAGAAUCAACCCAAAUGUCCAUCAACUGGUGAAUGGAUAUGUGGUAUAGCCAUACAAUGGUACACUAUUCAGCCACAUACAGGAAUGAGGUACUGAAACAUGCUAGAAGAUAGAAGAACCUUGAAAACAUGCUAUGUGUAAGAAACCAGUCAGACAACUCCACGUAUUAUGAUUCCAUUUACGUAAAAUGUCCAGAAUAGGCAAAUCCAUAGAUUAAUCCGGAAAGUGGAUUAGUGAUUGCAUAGGACUGGGGCUGAGGGUUGGGGGGAGAAUGAGAAUGACUGCUAAUGGAUACAGGGGUUUCUUUUUGGGCUGAUGGAAAUGUUCUAAAAUUGAUUGUGACGAUAGGUGCACAUCUCUGUGAAUACGUUAUGGUGUAUUUCAUGGUAUAUGAAAUAUAUCUCAAAGCUGUCAUUUAAAAAAUAUUAAAGUGUUUGAAAGAAUGUGUAGCAGCUGGGAUACACUGCUGGUGGGCACACCAACUUGAAAAAGAGUUUGUCAGUUUCUUAAAAAGUUAAGAAUCCAUCUACCACAGGAAUCAGUCAUUCCAUUUACACAUUCACACGAGGAGUGAAAGCAUAUGUUCAUACAAAGACGUGUGCAUGAAUUUUAAAUUUUAAUUUUAAGUUCUUGAUACAAAUAACAGAGGAAUCUCUAUGCUGAGUGUAAGAAGCAGACAAAAAAGAGUACAUACUGUAUGAUUCCAUUUAUACAAAAUUCUGGAAAUUGCCAACUAUUCUAUAGUGAUAGACAGUGUUUGCCUAGGGAGAGGAGGUCGUCUGGGUGGAGGGGCAGAAGGGAGAGAUUACAACAGGGCACAAGCAAAUUUUUAGAGGCGAUGAGUAUGUUCGUUAUCUUGAUUGUGGUGAUAGCUGUACACAUGGCAAACUUGAUCAGGUUGUAUGCUUUUUGUGUGUGCAAUUUAUUGUGUGUUAAUUAUACCUCAAUAAAGCUGUUUUAAAAACCCUGC
rnacentral:lncRNA from 1 species